GGGGAUGUAGCUCAAUUGGUAGAGUGCUUGCCUUGCAUGCAAAAGGCCCUGGGUUCAUUCUCUAGCACCACCA
rnacentral:tRNA from 1 species